CCACUAAGCAGAAGAGAUUACUGUGAUCAAGAAGUUGGUUGACCCAGUGUGGGGCUCAGCCAUUCCACUCUGGCUGGGCUGACUCCUUUUGAAUUUUCCAAAUGUGUGAAUCUCGAAUGCAAAAUUUAUGGUAGUGGUCGUUUGCAAAUUAUGGUAGUGGUCG